rnacentral:rRNA from 2 species
UUUCAGGUUGACCUCGGAUCAGGU